CAACAAACUAACAACCACAGCAGAUAACAGCAAGGCAACAGCUGAUUAAAUAAAUGAUUUUUGUAUUUUUUUUUAUUUUUACCUCUUUUCGGCUAUAAAAGGCAGAUUGUACAUUGUAAAGGGGACGAACGCAAGAAAUAUAAAUCCAAAUAGCAAAAAAGAAAAAAUAGAUUAUUCAAAGACCUUGACAGGUCAUUGAAGUCAAGAGUAAGGAUAGAAAAUGGAGAAUACCUAGAAGUGAAGGGAAAAGGCACAUCGGCAAUAAAGAGCUGUGAUGGAACUUAGUUGAUCUCAACUAUUCUAUUUGCACCUGAGAUUGAUCAAAACUUGCUGAGUGUAGGGCAAUUCGUGGAGAAAGGAUUCAAAGUGAUGCUUGAAAAGGGAAGGUGUCUUAUCCUUGACUUUAGUGGCAAUGGAUUGUUUAGGAACAAGAUGCAAAAGAAGAACUUCUCACUGAAUCCACUCGAGAAGGAGCAAGUGGCAUCCAACUGUUAAGGAGAAAUGACAUCAAAUCAAAUGGACCUUUUUACUAAGCAAGUUAAGACAAUUAUGAAAUUGAUGACACAGUGUAAUGAAAAGUGUUUUAAGCUUGAGAUAAAAUCAACAGCUAAUCAUAUCUUGCAAGAAUAACUGCAAAAAAAAAAUGUUCUGAGAAUAA